rnacentral:piRNA from 1 species
UAUUGGUGUAUAAGUCAAAAA